rnacentral:rRNA from 1 species
GACGAACGCUGGCGGCGUGCUUAACACAUGCAAGUCGUACGGUAAGGCCCUUUCGGGGGUACACGAGUGGCGAACGGGUGAGUAACACGUGAGUAACCUGCCCACAACUUUGGGAUAACGCUAGGAAACUGGUGCUAAUACUGGAUAUGUGCUCCUGCUGCAUGGUGGGGGUUGGAAAGCUCCGGCGGUUGUGGAUGGACUCGUGGCCUAUCAGCCUGUUGGUGGGGUAGUGGCCUACCAAGGCGGCGACGGGUAGCCGGCCUGAGAGGGUGACCGGCCACAUUGGGACUGAGAUACGGCCCAGACUCCUACGGGAGGCAGCAGUGGGGAAUAUUGCACAAUGGGCGCAAGCCUGAUGCAGCAACGCCGCGUGCGGGAUGACGGCCUUCGGGUUGUAAACCGCUUUCAGCAGGGACGAAGCUUUUUGUGACGGUACCUGCAGAAGAAGCACCGGCUAACUACGUG